GUUGGUAAGGUAACGGCUUACCAAGGCAGCGAUAGGUAGGGGUCCUGAGAGGGAGAUCCCCCACACUGGUACUGAGACACGGACCAGACUCCUACGGGAGGCAGCAGUGAGGAAUAUUGGACAAUGGGCGAGAGCCUGAUCCAGCCAUGCCGCGUGCAGGAAGACUGCCCUAUGGGUUGUAAACUGCUUUUACAGAGGAAGAACCACCCCCACGUGUGGGGGUUUGACGGUACUCUGCGAAUAAGGAUCGGCUAACUCCGUGCCAGCAGCCGCGGUAAUACGGAGGAUCCAAGCGUUAUCCGGAAUCAUUGGGUUUAAAGGGUCCGUAGGCGGGCAGUUAAGUCAGUGGUGAAAGUCUUCCGCUCAACGGGAGAACUGCCAUUGAUACUGAUUGUCUUGAGUUAUUAUGAAGUGGUUAGAAUGAGUAGUGUAGCGGUGAAAUGCAUAGAUAUUACUCAGAAUACCGAUUGCGAAGGCAGAUCACUAAUAAUAUACUGACGCUGAUGGACGAAAGCGUAGGUAGCGAACAGGAUUAGAUACCCUGGUAGUCUACGCCGUAAACGAUGGUUACUAGCUGUUCGGAUCGAUUGAGAUCUGAGUGGUUAAGCGAAAGUGAUAAGUAACCCACCUGGGGAGUACGUUCGCAAGAAUGAAACUCAAAGGAAUUGACGGGGGCCCGCACNAGCGGUGGAGCAUGUGGUUUAAUUCGAUGAUACGCGAGGAACCUUACCAGGGCUUAAAUGUAGUCUGACAGGGGUGGAAACACUCUUUUCUUCGGACAGAUUACAAGGUGCUGCAUGGUUGUCGUCAGCUCGUGCCGUGAGGUGUCAGGUUAAGUCCUAUAACGAGCGCAACCCCUGUGGUUAGUUGCCAGCGAGUAAUGUCGGGAACUCUAGCCAGACUGCCGGUGCAAACCGCGAGGAAGGUGGGGAUGACGUCAAAUCAUCACGGCCCUUACGUCCUGGGCCACACACGUGCUACAAUGGUAGGGACAGAGAGCAGCCACUUCGCGAGAAGGAGCGAAUCUACAAACCCUAUCACAGUUCGGAUCGCAGUCUGCAACUCGACUGCGUGAAGCUGGAAUCGCUAGUAAUCGCAUAUCAGCCAUGAUGCGGUGAAUACGUUCCCGGGCCUUGUACACACCGCCCGUCAAGCCAUGGAAGCCGGGGGUACCUNAAGUCGGUCACCGCAAGGA
rnacentral:rRNA from 1 species